rnacentral:rRNA from 1 species
UAAGGAAUAUUGGUCAAUGGACGCAAGUCUGAACCAGCCAUGCCGCGUGAAGGAUGAAGGUCCUCUGGAUUGUAAACUUCUUUUAUAGGGGGCGAAAAAAGGGAAAUCUUUCUCACUUGACAGUACCCUAUGAAUAAGCACCGGCUAACUCCGUGCCAGCAGCCGCGGUAAUACGGAGGGUGCAAGCGUUAUCCGGAUUCACUGGGUUUAAAGGGUGCGUAGGCGGGCGUAUAAGUCAGUGGUGAAAUCCUGGAGCUUAACUCCAGAACUGCCAUUGAUACUAUAUGUCUUGAAUAUGGUGGAGGUAAGCGGAAUAUGUCAUGUAGCGGUGAAAUGCAUAGAUAUGACAUAGAACACCUAUUGCGAAGGCAGCUUACUACGCCUAUAUUGACGCUGAGGCACGAAAAGCGUGGGGAUCAAACAGGAUUAGAUACCCUGGUAGUCCACGCCCUAAACGAUGAUUACUCGACGUGUGCGAUAAACGGUACGCGUCUGAGCGAAAAGCAUUAAGUAAUCCACCUGGGGAAGUACGACCGCAAGGUUGAAACUCAAAGGAAUUGACGGGGUCAUAGCUGUUUCCUG